rnacentral:rRNA from 1 species
GUAAAAUGUUUAUUUUCGCGAUCACGCGCGACAUCAAUACAACUUUCAACAACGGAUCUCUUGGCUCUCGCAUCGAUGAAAAACGCAGCGAAAUGCGAUACGUAAUGUGAAUUGCAGAAUUCAGUGAAUCAUCGAAUCUUUGAACGCACCUUGCGCCCCUUGGCAUUCCGAGGGGCACACCCGUUUGGUGUCGUGAAAUCCUCAAAACCCUCUUCUUUCUGGAAAAAGGCGUUUUGUACUUGUAGGUUCUAUGCUCGCUUUCUCCUUUGAAAGCGAGCUCCUCCCAAAUGAAUCAGUGGGGUCUGCUUUGCCGGUCCUUGACAUGAUAAAAUGUUUCUACGUUUUGUAUCCGGCGUCUACAAUACCCCUGCUCCUAAUCGUCUCAUGGACAACGAUGGUGCUUCCGGUCACCGCCAUCUACGUUGGCGGGAGGCUGGACCCACGAAAAAAAAACCUUGGGCUCAAAUCGGGUGAGACUACCCGCUGAACUUAAGCAUAUC